CAGCAGCCACGGGAACACGUAGGGUGCGAGCGUUAAUCGGAAUUACUGGGCGUAAAGCGUGCGCAGGCGGUUCGUUAAGACAGAUGUGAAAUCCCCGGGCUUAACCUGGGAACUGCAUUUGUGACUGGCGAGCUAGAGUAUGGCAGAGGGGGGUAGAAUUCCACGUGUAGCAGUGAAAUGCGUAGAGAUGUGGAGGAAUACCGAUGGCGGAGGCAGCCCCCUGGGCCAAUACUGACGCUCAUGCACGAAAGCGUGGGGAGCAAACAGGAUUAGAUACCCGCGUAGUCCCUGUCUCUUAUAC
rnacentral:rRNA from 1 species